GGAGCCCGGCGCUUGCCGGACUGCGGCAUGGCCGAGGGGGCCGGUCCGGGGCGGGGGCCGCACCCCUGUGUCUGGGGCCGUUCCGCCGCCUCCCUGGGGAGCAGAGCCCGCGGUGUGUCCGCCCGCGGGGACUCGCCAAACAGGCCGGCGUUAUCUUUUGUUAUGCCAUGAUAAGCCAGGCUUAGUUGCUAAAGGUCUCUAAUGAGGAGAGGAAAUGCGGACUGUAACGCGUGAGCCAAACUGUAUGUCCAGGCGUGGGAUCGGCGUUCAGAGAGCGCCGCAUGGGGCCCGCGGUUUUUCCUUGUAGUCUGGGGAGAAGAUGCCAGAAAGCAAACUUCGCAUAGUUCAUUCAUCUACAUUUCCAUCCUUGCUGACCUCUGAACUGGCGCUCCUUCUUCCCCACCACUGUGUACCUGCUGGAGCGAGCGAGAUCUUCAGCCUACCACCAUGUCGCUCAUGCUGUCUAGUAGAAGGAAAACAGAUCAGGAACCACGCAACCUUCUGCCAUCCUCUUUCCAAUUCUGUUAAAAUUAUUGUUAAUAUUUUGUUUUCACAGUCUCACAGAUGAUCAGCAGCUUGUUUCUUCUCUUAGAUUGCUCUCAUCAUUGUAUACCUUUACAUUCCCGUAUAAGAAAUUCAAAUUUGAACUUGCUCUAUCCUUUUUGUAUCCUGUCUUUUGGGAAAAAUGCCAACAGCCUCAGUCUACUGCAGGUAAAAUUACAGCUUUUCACUUUCUUAAAAGUGAAAGUUGAUUAUGAUUUGUGCUAUUUACCUGUUAAAUAUAUAGCUGGUAGAAUUAUGCCAGUAGCAAAAAAAAAAACAAAACUGUAAACUCACAGAAUCAAUAGAAAACAAAAUUACUGAGGUUCUUUGUGCAUGAUGGAAAUGAAGCUGCUAAGGAUUUUGCUAUGGAGGUGUAUGCACUUACUGAAUGUUUACAUGUUUUUUUACAGUAUAUACUAGUAUCGAAUUAAAGAAUUUACAGUAGAUUUUCAAAACUUUUUUUAAUUAGGGCCAAAAAAAGGUUAGUUAAAGCAUGGUAUCAGGGCCUUAACUGUGCAGGACUGUAAGCAUUCUGAAGAACAUUCCUAUUAUCUUUGUUUAGCUGUUUGUUUAUAAAUGAAAAAUAUGAGGAAAAGAAUAAACACUUUUAGAUAUACAA